AUACGGAGGGUGCAAGCGUUAUUCGGAAUCACUGGGCGUAAAGGACGCGUAGGCGGGUUGGCAAGUCAGAUGUGAAAUCCUACAGCUUAACUGUAGAACUGCAUUUGAAACUGCUAACCUAGAGUAUGGGAGGGGGAGAUGGAAUUAGUGGUGUAGGGGUAAAAUCCGUAGAUAUCACUAGGAAUACCGAAAGCGAAGGCGAUCUCCUGGAACAUAACUGACGCUAAGGCGUGAAAGCGUGGGGAGCAAACAGGAGUAGAUACCCUAGUAGUCC
rnacentral:rRNA from 1 species